rnacentral:rRNA from 1 species
CGGGGGGCAGCAGUGGGGAAUUUUGGACAAUGGGCGCAAGCCUGAUCCAGCAAUGCCGCGUGCAGGAUGAAGGCCUUCGGGUUGUAAACUGCUUUUGUACGGAACGAAACGGUGAGCUCUAAUACAGUUUGCUAAUGACGGUACCGUAAGAAUAAGCACCGGCUAACUACGUGCCAGCAGCCGCGGUAAUACGUAGGGUGCGAGCGUUAAUCGGAAUUACUGGGCGUAAAGCGUGCGCAGGCGGUGAUGUAAGACAGAUGUGAAAUGCCCGGGCUCAACCUGGGACCUGCAUUUGUGACUGCAUCGCUAGAGUACGGUAGAGGGGGAUGGAAUUCCGCGUGUAGCAGUGAAAUGCGUAGAUAUGCGGAGGAACACCGAUGGCGAAGGCAAUCCCCUGGACCUGUACUGACGCUCAUGCACGAAAGCGUGGGGAGCAAACAGGAUUAGAUACCCGUGU